UCCAGGAUCAGUUUUUCCACUGCGGAGUGAUGUGGCAGUGGAGGAGAGGAUGUGGAUUCUCCCGAUGGAUCAUUGUUUGGAUUCGGCGUCAAAGUUAAAAACCGACGCGGGACCCCUGCUGAGCGCCUGGGGUAAUCGGAGCAGAGUGUGCGGCGCGUGCGGCAUAAGCCCACGGUUCCCGCUUAAAGCCAGCCUACAGAGACGCGAAGCAAGAAGGAAAUAAGCCAUUCACAGGAAAGCAAAGCUCUUCUGUGGUCCACAAAAUGUGUAAUGGACAUGUCCCAGGAAAACUGAAGUGAAAAUGCGCAAAAGAUGUUUUUUAUUUUGAUGCGUUGAGAAACAGAAAACAACUUUAAGCCCUUUAAAAAAACAUUCAUACUCAGCAACAUCCAAACAGUGGAAAAAAAAUGAUUGUAUCUAUACUACUACUAUUCUCGCUGACUCUCCUUUCUCACUUGGAUUUAAAAAAAAAAAAAAAUCCCUUCGUUUCAAUAAUGUAAGUAAUCGCAGAAUCUACUGACUCGUGUUCAGGAAUGAAUCUGUUUACCAAAAUGUAUGUGUAUAAACAGUCAUUACACGGUUGUAAACAUGUAAUUACAUGGAUUAAUUACCCACUCAAUAAAAUGAGCUGUCAUUACUUUGGGGUGGCAUUCUAAGCUGAGCUGACAGGUCACACCCUUCAGGAUGUAAAAAUAUAUAGAAUAGAGGGUGUUUGUUUUGGCCCUUUAAUUAGGAUAGAUAUUUCCGUUCCUCAAAAUUUUGGUACAAUGCA